rnacentral:rRNA from 1 species
AUUAGCUAGUAGGUGGGGUAACGGCUCACCUAGGCGACGAUCCCUAGCUGGUCUGAGAGGAUGACCAGCCACACUGGAACUGAGACACGGUCCAGACUCCUACGGGAGGCAGCAGUGGGGAAUAUUGCACAAUGGGCGCAAGCCUGAUGCAGCCAUGCCGCGUGUAUGAAGAAGGCCUUCGGGUUGUAAAGUACUUUCAGCGGGGAGGAAGGGAGUAAAGUUAAUACCUUUGCUCAUUGACGUUACCCGCCAGAAGAAGCACCGGCUAACUCCGUGCCAGCAGCCGCGGUAAUACGGAGGGUGCAAGCGUUAAUCGGAAUUACUGGGCGUAAAGCGCACGCAGGCGGUUUGUUAAGUCAGAUGUGAAAUCCCCGGGCUCAACCUGGGAACUGCAUCUGAUACUGGCAAGCUUGAGUCUCGUAGAGGGGGGUAGAAUUCCAGGUGUAGCGGUGAAAUGCGUAGAGAUCUGGAGGAAUACCGGUGGCGAAGGCGGCCCCCUGGACGAAGACUGACGCUCAGGUGCGAAAGCGUGGGGAGCAAACAGGAUUAGAUACCCUGGUAGUCCACGCCGUAAACGAUGUCGACUUGGAGGUUGUGCCCUUGAGGCGUGGCUUCCGGAGCUAACGCGUUAAGUCGACCGCCUGGGGAGUACGGCCGCAAGGUUAAAACUCAAAUGAAUUGACGGGGGCCCGCACAAGCGGUGGAGCAUGUGGUUUAAUUCGAUGCAACGCGAAGAACCUUACCUGGUCUUGACAUCCACGGAAGUUUUCAGAGAUGAGAAUGUGCCUUCGGGAACCGUGAGAACGGUGCUGCAUGGCUGUCGUCAGCUCGUGUUGUGAAAUGUUGGGUUAAGUCCCGCAACGAGCGCAACCCUUAUCUUUUGCUGCCAGUCGUCGGGUCAAGAACUGCAAGGAGACUGCCAGUGAUAAACUGAAGGAAGGUGGGGAUGACGUCAAGUCAUCAUGGCCCCUACGACCAGGGCUAUACACGGGCUACAAUGACGCAUCCACAGAGAAGCGACCUCACGGGAGCAAGCGGACCUCAUGAAGUGUGUCGUAGUCCGGAUUGGAGUCUGCAACUCGACUCCAUGAAGUCGGAAUCGCUAGUAAUCGUGGAUCAGAAUGCCACGGUGAAUACGUUCCCGGGCCUUGUACACACCGCCCGUCACACCAUGGGAGUGGGUUGCAAAAGAAGUAGGUAGCUUAACCUUCGGGAGGGCGCUACCACUA